GCAAUGGCAGAAGGAACACAGUGAGUUUGUCAGGUCUACUGAGAGUCCGGCCCCGCCGCCGAUGUGGCGAGCGAGGAAAUGUUGGUAGCCUAUUCUCAAUUAAUACUUUUAAACGAGUUGGCGAACUCAUCACAUUUUCUUUUGCUAUCGAUGCUUCUCUGCAGAAGGUUAUAUAGGCCUACUUUGCUACAAUGUAUCUACUCAGAGCGCGGGUCACUACACAGCCUAGUCUUCUUUUUUCACACUCGCAUCGUUGUUGCCGCGGUGCAGCGAGGACACACUACUUACGGGGGGAGUGGAAUUGGACGUGAGGGAGAGACAGACCAACACUUGGUGAUGGUCGCUCAAGACUUGAACUUGAACUUAAAAUUGGCGUCCAUGUCAAAUCGACGUUCAUCUUCUUUUUUCCAUAAGAAAUAUGCAUUUUCUGUGAUUCAAUGACAAACUACGAGGAGAUAUGAGGAAAAUACAGAUGUUUUGAAGAUAAGCAACUAAACCUGCUCCAACCUUGGACAUUGAAGAAGUGGACAUUUCAGAUCAACAGGGAGUCAAAGAUUUGAAGAAUGCAUGUUAUAGACAUUGUUAUAACAGGAUAACUACACUAUGUUCUGGAUCUACUACCCUGGUGGAUAAUAAGGCCUGUCUGGAUUUCAACACCCUGGAUUUUGCAUCCAUAGUUGGUGUGUGAUGCGACUGUCUACCCAUGUCCGAUUUGAGGUUGAUUGGAUCUGAUGUGUGAAGACGGAACAGACCCUGGAUUAAAGAUGGUGUGAACCUGAGACGGGUCAAGUAGGAACAGGAGGCAAAAUAUGAUGUUGACACAUUGCACGCAUUGCACGUGUGUGCGCGUCCUAGUCACCUUUUCAUGUCUGAGCUCUCACAUGAGGAUCACUUUAAGGACCACUCGGACUGUUCGUCAGAGACAAACCAACUGUCCUUUGGUGUGAGGUAGUAGGUUGUAUAGUUUUAGGGUCACUCCCAAGCUGUCAGAUGACUAUACAACAUACUGUCUUUCCUGAAGUGGCUGUAAUAUCAUCACAGACUCUCCACAUGAAGAACCCUCGGCAAAAGCUGCAAUGAAAAUGUACCUUUUUUGCCUACAUUAUUACCAUUCUUACAAUAUUAUUACAAUAUUAUUACAUCAUUUUAUAUUUGAACAGGAAAUUAGGUUUCACUUCAGGUUAAUUCACAUUUUCUGGUUGGACUCCAUCUCUAACUAACUGGUCAACCGGACUGUGCCCGGUCGGUGAUUCAUGGUGUUCGCACAGGGUGAGGUAGUAGGUUGUGUGGUUUCAGGGUUGUGAUUUUGCCCCAUCAGGAGUUAACUGUACAACCUACUGCCUUCCCUGAAGGGCAGCAACACAACAUUACAAGCAUGGCCACAAUGGAGCUCACCGUCUACUGUGCUGUUUUUAAGUGGCGCGCAAAGUAAAGAAGGUAAGCUAUCUCAAAUCUUUGCCUUGGUACUACUGCACAACAUCUGCUAAAUAGAGUAUUUUAUGUCUUGGAAUUUGGAAAUAGGCCUAUUGUUUAUCAACCUUCAAUUUUGUAAUAAUGCAUACUGUACUAAAAGUCAUAAUAAAAAGUGAGUAGUCUUA